rnacentral:rRNA from 1 species
UUAUAUGGUCAAGAAGAGAAGCGCAAACGGUGGAUGCCUUGGCAGUAAGAGGCGAAGAAGGACGUGGAAUCCUGCGAAAAGCUAUGGGGAGCUGGAAACGAGCGUUGAGCCAUAGAUGUCCGAAUGGGGGAACCCGGCUGCAGCGAUGCGGUCAUUUGCAUUUGAAUACAUAGGAUGCAAAGGCGAACUCGGGGAACUGAAACAUCUAAGUACCCGAAGGAAAAGAAAUCAAGAGAGAUUCUCCAAGUAGCGGCGAGCGAACGGGGAGGAGCCUGGCGUGAUUUAUUAUUGAACUGAGUAGAACAAUUUGGGAAAGUUGGCCGAAGAGGGUGAAAGCCCCGUAUACGAAGGUUU